CUCCUUUGAUAUCAACCAAAAGCUUGUCAUCAUAAAUGCCUCCAUUUUCAGAUUCAGUAUAAGUAGUAGCACCAUGGCCCCAAUAUCCAAUUGCCUUUUCAUAAACAACCAUUGCUGUGAAAUUUCCAAAACAAGUAGGAAUGGUUCCACCCAUCAUAUUGUUUGCCAAGUUCAAUAUGCGAAGAGAAGAAAGGCAGCAAAGCUGCAGAGG
rnacentral:misc_RNA from 1 species